CUUACUUUAGGAUUCCAGAACUAACUUUUCUCAUGGUUUUGCAGCUACUCGAUUAUGACCUUUUCAAGAGGAACAUAUCAAUGAUCACUCAUUUUUUUUAAGUUUAAAUAAGAGACAUUGAUGGAUUAUAGAGAAUGCUAAAAUGUCUCCUAGCUUUACUCAAAAAAAUGGUAUCUUUUGCUGAAUUGAAAACCGAAUACCGAAAUUUAGCAAAUUGCAAAUGUUUUCCAAUACAACUAUUCAAUCAUAAAAUUUGCAAAUUUGCAAUUCAGUUUUCAUUUUACCUCAACUUAUUGUUGUGUGAAAAAGAUUUAAGGACAAGUGCCUCAAUUCAUUUAUUUUGAAUCAUCAGAAAUUAUCAUAAUCUUUUAGAAAAAACUUUUCAGAUGAUUCAUCUACAUAAGUCACCAUAAAUAUGCAUAUGGGAGAUUUUUGUAGGUAAAUCUUUUGAUUUUUACAUAUUCUGAUCGUGUGUGAUGCUGAUCCAAACUAAUUAAAUAAG